GUGAGGAAUCUUCCACAAUGGGCGAAAGCCUGAUGGAGCAACGCCGCGUGAAGGAUGAAGGUCUUCGGAUUGUAAACUUCUUUUAUGAGUGAAGAAUAUGACGGUAACUCAUGAAUAAGCACCGGCUAACUACGUGCCAGCAGCCGCGGUCAUACGUAGGGUGCAAGCAUUAUCCGGAGUGACUGGGCGUAAAGAGUUGCGUAGGCGGUUAUGUAAGCGAAUAGUGAAACCUGAUGGCUCAACCACACAGACUAUUAUUCGAACUGCAUAACUAGAGAAUGGUAGAGGUAACUGGAAUUUCUUGUGUAGGAGUGAAAUCCGUAGAUAUAAGAAGGAACACCAAUGGCGUAGGCAGGUUACUGGGCCAUUUCUGACGCUAAGGCACGAAAGCGUGGGGAGCGAACCGGAUUAGAUACCCCUGUAGUCC
rnacentral:rRNA from 1 species